rnacentral:rRNA from 1 species
AAGCAGGGGAUCGUAAGACCUUGCGCUUUUGGAGCGGCCGAUGCCUGAUUAGCUAGUUGGUGGGGUAAAGGCCUACCAAGGCGACGAUCAGUAGUUGGUCUGAGAGGACGACCAGCCACACUGGGACUGAGACACGGCCCAGACUCCUACGGGAGGCAGCAGUGGGGAAUUUUGGACAAUGGGCGAAAGCCUGAUCCAGCAAUGCCGCGUGAGUGAAGAAGGCCUUCGGGUUGUAAAGCUCUUUCAGUCGAGAAGAAAAGAUUGUGAUGAAUAAUCACAAUUCAUGACGGUAUCGACAGAAGAAGCACCGGCUAACUACGUGCCAGCAGCCGCGGUAAUACGUAGGGUGCAAGCGUUAAUCGGAAUUACUGGGCGUAAAGGGUGCGCAGGCGGCUUUGUAAGUCAGAUGUGAAAUCCCCGGGCUUAACCUGGGAAUUGCGUUUGAAACUACAAAGCUAGAGU